rnacentral:rRNA from 1 species
UACAUGGGGUGCAAACGUUGCUCGGAAUUAUUGGGCGUAAAGCGCACGUAGGCGGUUCGUUAUGUCGGAUGUGAAAGCCCUUGGCUUAACCGAGGAAGUGCAUCCGAAACUGGCGAGCUAGAGUACUAAAGAGGAUCGCGGAAUUCCCGGUGUAGAGGUGAAAUUCGUAGAUAUCGGGAGGAACACCGGUGGCGAAGGCGGGUCUCUGGGCCGAUACUGACGCUGAGGAGCGAAAGCGUGGGGAGCGAACAGG